GCCUGCUGAUCAUUUGGCUUGCAUAUGGGUUAUUGUGAUGGGAAUUGAUUCUUUUUCUCGUUGAAGGAGUAAGGGAAAAGAAUAGAACAAGAGACGGAGAUAGAGAGAACAACAGAGUCUUUCUUUUCUCUUUCUUUUUAUUGCCCAGUCAUGGAGGCUAAAGAGAUUUAGGAGGCAUUUCAAUUUCCCAAGAGUGUGUGUGUGUGAGCGUCGGUGUCAGAUUUCUUUUUUGUUUAAAAAUUUUUCCUUUUUUCUUUUCUGGUGUCUGGG
rnacentral:misc_RNA from 1 species